CACGUAGGGGGCAAGCGUUGUCCGGAUUUAUUGGGCGUAAAGAGCUCGUAGGCGGCUUAGUAAGUCGGGUGUGAAACCUCCAGGCUCAACCUGGAGACGCCACCCGAUACUGCUGUGGCUAGAGUCCGGUAGGGGAGCGUGGAAUUCCUGGUGUAGCGGUGAAAUGCGCAGAUAUCAGGAGGAACACCAGCGGCGAAGGCGGCGCUCUGGGCCGGUACUGACGCUGAGGAGCGAAAGCUAGGGGAGCAAACGGG
rnacentral:rRNA from 1 species